rnacentral:rRNA from 1 species
GAUUAAACUGAAGAGUUUGAUCCUGGCUCAGAUUGAACGCUGGCGGAAUGCUUUACACAUGCAAGUCGAACGGCAGCACGGAGAGCUUGCUCUCUGGUGGCGAGUGGCGAACGGGUGAGUAAUAUAUCGGAACGUGUCCAAUAAUGGGGGAUAACGAGUCGAAAGAUUCGCUAAUACCGCAUACGCCCUACGGGGGAAAGCAGGGGAUCGUAAGACCUUGCGUUAAUGGAGCGGCCGAUAUCUGAUUAGCUUGUUGGUGAGGUAAAGGCUCACCAAGGCGACGAUCAGUAGCUGGU